UGUUGAUUCAAACUCCCUUGCUUUGCUCUUCAUUCUUCCUUCUACUCUCAUCUACCACAGGAAAAGACCAUGCCCAAAACUUACUUUCUUGAUUGUUUGUAGAAUCUUCAUCCUAGGCCUCCUCAGUUGUACUUUGCAGAUUUUAAUGUAGUAUAUUGGAAUAGGGUAUAGCUCUCCAACUAUGGCCUCAGCAAUGAAUAGCCUCAUCCCAGCCUUUACCUUCAUACUUGCACUUGUGACUAGGUACUGUUCCUAUUCCUGCUUUUUCUUUUUCCUUUUUUCAAUCAGUCAUUUUCUCCAAUCAAUUACCAAACGCCAUGUGUCAAUUAAGGCCUGUCCUUUCUCUUUGUUUGAUAGUGCUUGUGCUUUUUUGUGAGGCCUGUUUUU